rnacentral:pre_miRNA from 1 species
GGCCCAAAUUUGAGGUAAAGUAGAUCAGAAGGAUCAUGUAACCCUACUAAACUACUCUACUUCGAGUUUGUGCUA